rnacentral:lncRNA from 1 species
AGAGGACCUGUCGCCUAUUGAGGAAAGACUGGAAGAUGAUGAGCGCACCAUGGAUGCCUCUGAGGUUCUGGAGGAAAGUCUACAGAACAUGAGCAUCCAGGAUGCUGAAACCCAGGUCAUGAAUGAGCAGGAGAUAAAUGAUCUAAUGAACAGUGUAAUUGAUUGGGGGGACAGUGAAGGUGUUAGUAAUGAGGAGAUUGAAGCAGAUGACAGUGAAGAUGAGGACUAUGUCCCUCGUAUUUGUAUUCGGUUGGGUGGAGCAUUGCAGGCACCACCAUGCAUUGAUAAUCUGCCUGUGAUAGAUGCCAGUGAGACAGUACAUGACAUCCCGGAUGUAGAGCCUCCAUCAGUCACCUUACCUACACUUCAACAACCUGGCUUUCCUGAUACACUGGAGGUCAUGACUGAAGAUGACCUAAUCGGGAAACGGGCCUCCAUCACUUAUGAGGACUGUUUGAGGCAGCUUGCAACAUUACUUGUGCUUCCGGUCCAAAAGUGCCCAUACACAUGUGACGUCAGUAAAAUGGAGUGUCAGUGUCGCCCUCCAUUUGAAGUUUCCAUUACACGCAGGGGUACUGCAAGCAUCAUGGAAUGGGUAUGUGUUGUAAUCAUACUACAUUGCAAAUAAGUGUAGAUUGGUGUUGGAGGCAAUGUCAAUACGUUGACAGUGGUUUUGUGAAACUCAAUCAAGCUUCCUGAGUUGUAGUUUCCACUUAGUGGAAGCAAUUCUGUUUGUAUUUGAUAAUGCUAAAUAGCCUAAGUUGUGUCCCAUUUAUUGUCAGACCUGCCUUGUUGGCCACACUGUAUGGAGAUGGAGCUCACAGCCAACUUUGAGGUACGGGAUGCUAGCAGGGGACUUUAUGUUGGCAAGCAACAUACUACUCUCCGGAAGCAACUACUCCAAAGUCUCGCUUCUGUUCCAGUUUAUGAACAUGGGGAUGGUGGACCGUAGUUCAUUUUUCACAAUUCAGGACACAUACAGUGUAGACACUGUGAAGGAGUUUUGGG